UACAUGGGGUGCAAACGUUGCUCGGAAUUAUUGGGCGUAAAGCGCGCGUAGGCGGUUACCUAAGUUGGAUGUGAAAGCCCCGAGCUUAACUUGGGAAGUGCACUCGAUACUGCGAGGCUAGAGUAUCGGAGAGGUUGGUGGAAUUCUCGGUGUAGAGGUGAAAUUCGUAGAUAUCGAGAGGAACACCGGUGGCGAAGGCGGCCAACUGGACGAAUACUGACGCUGAGACUCGAAAGCGUGGGGAGCAAACAGG
rnacentral:rRNA from 1 species